rnacentral:tRNA from 1 species
CUGCGAGUAGCUCAGUUGGAUAGAGCAGCGGCCUUCUAAGCCGUGGGUCGAGAGUUCGAAUCUCUCUUCGCAGACCA